rnacentral:rRNA from 1 species
UGCAAGUCGAGCGAACAGAUGAGAAGCUUGCUUCUCUGAUGUUAGCGGCGGACGGGUGAGUAACACGUGGGUAACCUACCUAUAAGACUGGGAUAACUCCGGGAAACCGGGGCUAAUACCUGAUAAUAUUUUGAACCGCAUGGUUCAAUAGUGAAAGACGGCUUCGGCUGUCACUUAUAGAUGGACCCGCGCCGUAUUAGCUAGUUGGUAAGGUAAUGGCUUACCAAGGCGACGAUACGUAGCCGACCUGAGAGGGUGAUCGGCCACACUGGAACUGAGACACGGUCCAGACUCCUACGGGAGGCAGCAGUAGGGAAUCUUCCGCAAUGGGCGAAAGCCUGACGGAGCAACGCCGCGUGAGUGAUGAAGGUCUUAGGAUCGUAAAACUCUGUUGUUAGGGAAGAACAAAUUUGUUAGUAACUGAACAAGUCUUGACGGUACCUAACCAGAAAGCCACGGCUAACUACGUGCCAGCAGCCGCGGUAAUACGUAGGUGGCAAGCGUUAUCCGGAAUUAUUGGGCGUAAAGCGCGCGUAGGCGGUUUCUUAAGUCUGAUGUGAAAGUCCACGGCUCAACCGUGGAAGGUCAUUGGAAACUGGGGAACUUGAGUGCAGAAGAGGAGAGUGGAAUUCCAUGUGUAGCGGUGAAAUGCGCAGAGAUAUGGAGGAACACCAGUGGCGAAGGCGGCUCUCUGGUCUGUAACUGACGCUGAUGUGCGAAAGCGUGGGGAUCAAACAGGAUUAGAUACCCUGGUAGUCCACGCCGUAAACGAUGAGUGCU